CUACGGGCGGCACCAGUGAGGAAUAUUGCACAAUGGGGGGAACCCUGAUGCAGCAACGCCGCGUGGAGGAUGACGCAUUUCGGCGUGUAAACUCCUUUUAUAUGUCAAGAAAAUGAAGGUAGCAUAUGAAUAAGCACCGGCUAACUCCGUGCCAGCAGCCGCGGUAAUACGGAGGGUGCAAGCGUUACUCGGAAUCACUGGGCGUAAAGGACGCGUAGGCGGGUUGGAAAGUCAGGUGUGAAAUCCUACAGCUUAACUGUAGAACUGCACUUGAAACUUCUAAUCUAGAGUAUGGGAGGGGGAGAUGGAAUUAGUGGUGUAGGGGUAAAAUCCGUAGAUAUCACUAGGAAUACCUAAAGCGAAGGCGAUCUCCUGGAACAUUACUGACGCUAAGGCGUGAAAGCGUGGGGAGCAAACAGGAUUAGAUACCCCAGUAGUC
rnacentral:rRNA from 1 species